UUAACUCCCAUCCCUUAAAACUCACACCCAUGAAACUCAGAGAUUUUCCAGCAACAUCUGUGAGAUCAAGUGCAGUCUGCUUCCUGUCAAAGUUGUGCCUGGAUGGAGUCCAGGCAAAGAGCAAAGAUUUAAUGGACAGUAUCACCAACCUACUAUCCUGCAGGGGACCAGUAUCCUCGGCAGUUGAUACAUUUUGCCCCUCUUCGCCAGCCUCAUUCUCCAUGUUUGAUCCCACGUGACGAUCCCACUGGAUGGGAACAGGCAGGUCUGGUGUUGGUCUCUGCCUCACUUGACAGCUUUCACGUAGACAAAUUAAUCUGCUUUGCUUAUGACACACCAUUUCACAGUGAAAUGCUGCAGCAUCGUAUAAUCUUGCCCUUUCUCAUAUUUUCAGUCAACAGUGUUCCUACUCUGUUAUCAUUUACCGUUGUCACAGUAAAAGCAAAAUGCUGAUA